rnacentral:rRNA from 1 species
UACAGAGGAUGCGAACGUUGCUCGGAAUUACUGGGCGUAAAGCGCGUGUAGGCGGACUCGCAAGUCAGAUGUGAAAUCCCCAAGCUCAACUCGGGAACUGCAUCUGAAACUGCGAGCCUUGAGUACCGGAGAGGGUGGCGGAAUUCCUGGUGUAGAGGUGAAAUUCGUAGAUAUCAGGAGGAACACCGGUGGCGAAGACGGCCACCUGAACGGUAACUGACGCUGAGACGCGAAAGCGUGAGGAGCAAACAGG